rnacentral:rRNA from 1 species
AUGGUCGACCUGCAGGCGGCCGCACUAGUGAUUCAGGAGGCAGCAGUAAGGGAUAUUGCGCAAUGGGCGGAAGCCUGACGCAGCAACGCCGCGUGCCCGAGGAAGGCCUUCGGGUCGUAAAGGGCUUUUAAGGCUGAAGAGAGCGGACGGUAAGCCUGGAAGAAGUGUCGGCUAAUACGUGCCAGCAGCCGCGGUAAAACGUAGGACGCAAGCGUUAUCCGGAGUUACUGGGCGUAAAGGGCGGGUAGGCGGUCUGACAAGUGAGGUGUGAAAUCUCCCAGGCUCAACCGGGAGGGGGCAUCUGAGACUGUCAGACUGGAGGGCAGCAGAGGAGCGUGGAAUUCCGGGUGGAGUAGUGAAAUGCGUAGAGAUCCGGAGGAACACCAGAGGCGAAGGCGGCGCUCUGGGCUGCKCCUGACGCUGAACCGCGAAAGCCAGGGGAGCGAACGGGAUUAGAAACCCCGGUAGAUCCUUGGCCGUAAAUCGAGUGCCAACCUGGGCGUUGGYGGCGGAAGGCCUCAUGCGUCGGAMGCGAAVGCGGUAAMGUUGGCVGCCUGGGGAGUAACGGUVGCAAGGCUAAA